UGAGGAAUAUUGGUCAAUGGGCGAGAGCCUGAACCAGCCAAGUAGCGUGAAGGAUGACUGCCCUAUGGGUUGUAAACUUCUUUUAUAAAGGAAUAAAGUCGGGUAUGCAUACCCGUUUGCAUGUACUUUAUGAAUAAGGAUCGGCUAACUCCGUGCCAGCAGCCGCGGUAAUACGGAGGAUCCGAGCGUUAUCCGGAUUUAUUGGGUUUAAAGGGAGCGUAGAUGGAUGUUUAAGUCAGUUGUGAAAGUUUGCGGCUCAACCGUAAAAUUGCAGUUGAUACUGGAUAUCUUGAGUGCAGUUGAGGCAGGCGGAAUUCGUGGUGUAGCGGUGAAAUGCUUAGAUAUCACGAAGAACUCCGAUUGCGAAGGCAGCUUACUGGAUUGUAACUGACGCUGAUGCUCGAAAGUGUGGGUAUCAAACAGGAUUAGAUACCCUGGUAGUCCACACAGUAAACGAUGAAUACUCGCUGUUGGCGAUAUACGGUCAGCGGCCAAGCGAAAGCAUUAAGUAUUCCACCUGGGGAGUACGCCGGCAACGGUGAAACUCAAAGGAAUUGACGGGGGCCCGCACAAGCGGAGGAACAUGUGGUUUAAUUCGAUGAUACGCGAGGAACCUUACCCGGGCUUAAAUUGCAACUGACGGAACCGGAAACGGUUCUUUCUUCGGACAGUUGUGAAGGUGCUGCAUGGUUGUCGUCAGCUCGUGCCGUGAGGUGUCGGCUUAAGUGCCAUAACGAGCGCAACCCUUAUCGAUAGUUACUAGCAGGUCAUGCUGAGGACUCUAUUGAGACUGCCGUCGUAAGAUGUGAGGAAGGUGGGGAUGACGUCAAAUCAGCACGGCCCUUACGUCCGGGGCUACACACGUGUUACAAUGGGGGGUACAGAAGGCAGCUACACGGCGACGUGGUGCUAAUCCCUAAAGCCUCUCUCAGUUCGGAUUGGAGUCUGCAACCCGACUCCAUGAAGCUGGAUUCGCUAGUAAUCGCGCAUCAGCCACGGCGCGGUGAAUACGUUCCC
rnacentral:rRNA from 1 species